rnacentral:rRNA from 1 species
UACGGAGGGAGCUAGCGUUGUUCGGAAUUACUGGGCGUAAAGCGCGCGUAGGCGGCUUUGUAAGUUAGAGGUGAAAGCCCGGGGCUCAACCCCGGAAUUGCCUUUAAGACUGCAUCGCUAGGAUUGUGGAGAGGUAAGUGGAAUUCCGAGUGUAGAGGUGAAAUUCGUAGAUAUUCGGAAGAACACCAGUGGCGAAGGCGACUUACUGGACACAUAUUGACGCUGAGGCGCGAAAGCGUGGGGAGCAAACAGG